UUUAACUUGAGAGUUUGAUCCUGGCUCAGAAUCAACGCUGGCGGCGUGCCUUAUACAUGCAAGUCGUACGCGAAAGUAGCCUUCGGGCUGCGAGUAGAGU
rnacentral:rRNA from 1 species